rnacentral:rRNA from 1 species
GAUGAACGCUAGCGGCAGGCUUAAUACAUGCAAGUCGAGGGGCAGCAGGGGUGCAGCAAUACACUUGCUGGCGACCGGCAAACGGGUGCGGAACACGUACGCAACCUACCCUGAACUGGGGGAUAGCCCGGGGAAACCCGGAUUAAUACCCCGUAACACUGUGAGGUGGCAUCACCUUAUAGUUAUAGCUCCGGUGGUUCAGGAUGGGCGUGCGGCUGAUUAGGUAGUUGGUUGGGGUAAUGGCCCACCAAGCCUACGAUCAGUAACUGGUGUGAGAGCACGACCAGUCACACGGGCGCUGAGACACGGGCCCGACUCCUACGGGAGGCAGCAGUAAGGAAUAUUGGGCAAUGGAGGCAACUCUGACCCAGCCAUGCCGCGUGGAGGAUGAAGGCCCUCUGGGUUGUAAACUUCUUUUACCUGGGACGAAACCUUUCUUUUCUAAGGGAGUUGACGGUACCAGGGGAAUAAGCACCGGCUAACUCCGUGCCAGCCGCCGCCGUAAGAC